rnacentral:rRNA from 1 species
AGCAGCCGCGGUAAUUCCAGCUCCAAUAGCGUAUAUUUAAGUUGUUGCAGUUAAAAAGCCGUAGUUGCCAAGGAUGUUUCAUUAAUCAAGAACGAAAGUUAGGGGAUCGAAGACGAUCGAUACGUCGUAGUCUUAACCAUAAACUAUGCCGACUAGGGAUCGGACGACGUUAAAUAAUGACUCGUUCGGCACCCUAUGGGAAACCAA